rnacentral:lncRNA from 1 species
UUUUUCCUGAUUUGAUACCAUUCUCCACCAUUUCCCCAAUUUUUAUUGAUUCGGCGAAAGGUUUACCAACCGCGGCUAGUAAAUGAUGAAAAUAAUCGGACUCUUGAGUUUGGAGAAAAAUGUCGAUCAAUUCCUGGUCCUUCAGUGGCGGCUUGACUCUAGAUGCCUGUUCUCUCCAUUUUAUGGCAAACUCUCAAAAACUUUCAGAUGGUUUUUUCUUCAUAUUAGCGAGAGAAGUGCGGUCAGGGAUAAUAUCGAGAUUGUACUGAAAUUGUUGCACAAAAUCUUGAGCCAUAUCAUCCCAAACGUGCCAAUGGGAGAUGUCUUGAUCGAUA